GCUGAACCUCUCUUAAAAGCUGAGCCCUGGCUGUGUCCCAUGUGUGUCAGGAGGUGGCAGAGAGGAGAGAGCGUCUGUCCACUCAGUGUUCUGAUCUGUGAACAUUGAGUGGUUAGUAGCCUAACAUU
ensembl:snoRNA